UGAUGUGUUCAGUGUAACUCGCAGAUUGG
rnacentral:piRNA from 1 species